rnacentral:ribozyme from 1 species
GAUAAAGACGAGACUACCCUUCCCCCCUACGUUGAUCCUCUGUGUUUGACAUCCGCCCC